rnacentral:lncRNA from 1 species
GCGGCGCUCUCAUGCUGCAUCAUUGGGGAUGACACGUGCUCUCUGUUUAUUGCCAAGGCGAGAAGGGAGCGCGAGAUGGAGAGGGAGGGAGGGAGCGGGAGAGAAAGAGGGAGGGAGGAUGAGAGGGAGAGAGAUCUGGAGAGCAGAGACCCCAUAGAAUACACUGCCUCUUUCUGUAGCACGCUCAUACACACAGACUGGAACAGACUAAGGCAAAGAGAGAGAGAAAAACAGACGCACUACAAAAUACGCAACAAUAGCAGCUGUUGAAGCUCAAACCACCACAAGAGGUUGCUCUCCAGGAUGGCUGGGAUGAAGGAGCAGCAAUUUACGGAGGAGAAACCCCUACUACCGGAGCAGAGAGGACAAGAUACUGAGAUGAGAGACCAAGGGCGGUGUGUGAACGCACUCCCCUGCGCAAGCCCUGCGCCACUCACCGCCCCCUCUUCCUCAAGCCGCCCCCCACAACGGUGGCAUGUGAUCGCGCGGCACUGGCUCCACCAGACCCGCAAUCGGACCAGUGGGUGCAUCCCGGUAAUUACAUACCCAGAACUCACCUGCAGGGGGACUAUUCCCCAUGCCCUGCAGGGGUACCAAAUACCAAAUCUCCGUUACCUUUGA